rnacentral:lncRNA from 1 species
AUGAACCUCUCCCAGCACCGCACUCCCCGCCCACCCCUCCCCUCGCCUGCCCACCCCGCCCCUCGCCUGCCUACCCCUCCCCUUCCUAACCUUUCCCUGCCUACCACCCCUGCCCCGCCGAGACCGGGUCGGCGGCGGGGGCAUUGUUUUGGAGUCGGGCGGGAGGGAAGGGCGCGUGCGGGGUGGCCGGCGCAGUGGUGCACUGGUGGGGGCGGGAGCGGGUGGGCACGCGCGCGUGUCUCUGUGCGCGCGCGGGAGUCGGCGGGGCGGGACAUGGGGCGGCGCCUUGCAGUCUCGCGCCCCACGCCUGGGCUCCGCUCCGCACGUCUCGGGGAUCCCGGGCUCCGGUUUUUGGCUCGUGCCGGCCUGGGCCGGAGCCCUCGGCGCGCCGCUGCUGCGGCGGUGGCCGCUCGAGUGUGCGAGCGGGCGCGUGUGCGGACCCGGGCGCGCGCGCGCGAGCCCCCAGUGUGUGGCGGCGGCGGCGGCGGCGGCGCGGCGAGGCUGGGGCUCUUGUUUACCAGCAUUAACUCCGCUGAGCGGAAAAAAAGGGAAAAAACCCGAGGAGGAGCGAGCGCACCAGGCGAACUCAAGAGAGGCGGGAGAGCGAGAGGGACGCCGCCAGCGAGCCUGCCCGCGGCCGGCGCUCGCAGACCCUCGGCCCCGCUCCCCGGACCCCCCCGCGCCCUCCACGCCCCUCCCGCGCGGGGGCAGCUCCACGGCGCGCCUCGCCUCGGCUGUGACCUUCAGCGAGCCGGAGCCCCCGCGCAGAGCCGGCGGCGGCGGGCGGGGGGCCGGGCGGGGGCAGCGCGGGGCGGGCGGCGGCGCGGAGCCGGGCGGCGCGGCGGGAGUGCUGAGCGCGGCGCGGCCGGCCCGCCGCUUUGUGUGUGUCCUGGAUUUGGGAAGGAGCUCGCGGCGGCGGCGGCGGCGGCGGCGGCGCUGAGGGAGGAGGCGGCGGCGAGCGGAGCCCGGAGGAGGAGGAGGAGGAGGAGGGGGAGCCGCUCAUUCAUUUGA